rnacentral:rRNA from 1 species
CCCUUAGAUGUUCUGGGCCGCACGCGCGCUACACUGAUGCAUUCAACGAGCCUAUCCUUGACCGACAGGUCCGGGUAAUCUUUGAAUCUGCAUCGUGACGGGGAUAGAUUAUUGCAAUUAUUAAUCUUCAACUAGGAAUGCCUAGUAGGCGCAAGUCAUCAGCUUGCGUCGAUUACGUCCCUGCCCUUUGUACACACCGCCCGUCGCUCCUACCGAUUGGGUGUGCUGGUGAAAUGUUCGGAUCGGCCGUUUGUCGCGGUUUCCGCGUCAUGUGGCUGAGAAGUUCAUUAAACCCUCCCACCUAGAGGAAGGAGAAGUCGUAACA